AUGGCUUUCAUCGUGUCCAAGCUCGCGCGGGCAGCCCUCGCAUCCCGCCCCGUUGGAGAUAUUGCUGGUGGCAUCUCCCCAUGUCUCUCCCGGCUCUAUCUGGCGGCUUGUACCAGCCGUCGCAUGUUUGCAGCUUCUGGCGGUCCCAUGUCAAAAGAUGCACCCCGAAUAUUUCCCCUUGUUGAUGAGAAUUCCAUUAAGUCGAAGGAAUCCCUAUGGGCCUUGUAUGAAUGCUGGUGCAAGUAUUGGGGGGUAUCCCGUGACCGUGAAGAGAUGGUCCGCCGGUUCAAGUCAUUUGAGGCUACUGCACAGUGGGUUUACAAAAUGAACAACUCUGAGUGUUCGCAAGUGUCUCAACUGGGCCCGCAUGCAGAUAUGUCAGAGAGGGAGUUUGCUCAGCUGUUUCCUCCACUUCCUGAGGAUGAUGAUGAAGACAUAGAAGUGCUGGUAUGA
rnacentral:rRNA from 1 species